CGCUGGCGGCGCGCCUAACACAUGCAAGUCGAAAGAGAAUCCGGGGCAACCCGGUAGUAAAGUGGCAAACGGGUGAGGAAUACAUGGGUAACCUACCCUUGAGAAGGGAAUAACCCGCCGAAAGGUGAGCUAAUACCCUAUACGCUAUCUUUUUUUCGAAAAGGAUAGGAAAGCCGGGUCGAGGACCUGGUACUCAAGGAGGGGCUCAUGUCCUAUCAGCUUGUUGGUGGGGUAACGGCCUACCAAGGCUACGACGGGUAGCUGGUCUGAGAGGAUGAUCAGCCACACUGGCACUGAGAUACGGGCCAGACUCCUACGGGAGGCAGCAGUGAGGAAUAUUGCGCAAUGGGCGAAAGCCUGACGCAGCGACGCCGCGUGGGGGAUGAAGGUUUUCGGAUUGUAAACCCCUUUCAUGAGGAAAGAUAAAGUGGGUAACCACUUAGACGGUACCUCAAGAAGAAGCCACGGCUAACUUCGUG
rnacentral:rRNA from 1 species